rnacentral:rRNA from 1 species
AACGAACGCUGGCGGCAUGCCUAACACAUGCAAGUCGAACGAGACCUUCGGGUCUAGUGGCGCACGGGUGCGUAACGCGUGGGAACCUGCCCUUAGGUUCGGAAUAACUCCCCGAAAGGGGUGCUAAUACCGGAUAAUGUCUUCGGACCAAAGAUUUAUCGCCUUUGGAUGGGCCCGCGUUGGAUUAGCUAGUUGGUAGGGUAAAAGCCUACCAAGGCGACGAUCCAUAGCUGGUCUGAGAGGAUGAUCAGCCACACUGGGACUGAGACACGGCCCAGACUCCUACGGGAAGCAGCAGUGGGGAAUAUUGGACGAUGGGCGAAAGCCUGAUACAGCAAUGCCGCGUGAGUGAUGAAGGCCUUAGGGUUGUAAAGCUCUUUUACCCGGGAUGAUAAUGACAGUACCGGGAGAAUAAGCUCCGGCUAACUCCGUG